rnacentral:lncRNA from 1 species
AGGAAGUGUGAGCCAAUUUCCAGGCCAGCCAACAAUGAAGAGGAAGGACGGUCCGUGGGCUUAUAGUCCACAAGGAGACAUGGCAGGCCUGAAGAGGUCUAGUCAUGCCCCCUUUGGCCCUCCUGGAAGCCGCUGGCCAGUAAGAAGUCUGAACACUUUCCUGGAGAAUGAGGCCUGGUGAGUCCCCAGCCAUUCCAGCUGCUCCAAUGGGAAUAUCUAGUGCAAGUGAAGUCAUUGUGACCCUCUGGCCUCAGUUGAGCCCAGCAACACCACAUAGAGCAGCAAAAACCAACUCCACCCACCAUAGUCAUACUUCUGAGCAAACGAUAUCAACAGUGUGGGCCAGAUCAUUUAUUAAGUUUCUCCCAUCUGCCAAAUGUUGGUGGAAUCCCCGCUCCUUGGUGAGAGGGCAAAUUUGGUGCCCAUCCUGUGUCCCUUUCAGGCUCCUGAAAAAAAGCACAACAAACUAGCAAACAAUCAAACGUGGAUUUAUCAUAAGAGGGGAAACUAAAGACCAGAGAGCCUGAGUCACUUUCCCAAGGCCACACAGCUAAGUAUGAUUGAGGACUCAUACUCAGGCUGGGACUCAUACUCUGGCCAGGCUGGUUCUUACUGCAAAUCAUUUCUUUUAUCCUACAGUUAUCUCAGAAAAGAACCAAAUACCAUCCCAUAGUUCUGCUUGACCAAGGUUUAAUGAAGUGAAUGUUCACAUUUUCCACAUGCUAUAUUUUUCUGUUCUUUAAGGAUCUAAAUUUUCUUGGAAUAGCCUUGCAUAAAAGUUUAACUAUUGUAGAGAUAAGCCACACAAUUUGAUUAUAUUUCAAUGAGUGGAACACUAUGAAGUCCAAAUAAAUGCAGAAAUCAUCGGUUUGGGACUAAUAGAUAAAAUGCUCCCAGCUGUAGCUGCACCCUUUCUACCUUUUUUUUUUUUUUUUAAUUGCCUUUUGUCUUUUUAGGGCCGUACCCGUGGCAUAUGGAAGUUCCCAGGCUACAGGUCUAAUCGGAGCUAUAGCUGCCAGCCUCCACCAGAGCCAUAGCAAUGCCAGAUCCAAGCCACAUCUGUGACCUACACCACAGCUCAAGGCAACACCGGAUCCUUAACCCGCUCAGCAAGGCCAGGAAUCGAACCUGCAACCUCAUGGUUCCUAGUUGGAUUCCUUUCCACUGCGCCAAGAUGUUAGCUCCCCUUUCUACCUUCUUUAAGAGAAUUUACAACACAGGAAGAGGCUGAUAAAGCAGAAAUGUCAAUGGAAAAAUGCUUUCACUUCUGGGAAUCAUUCUUAUUAAAACAUGUAAUUCAGUUCUUAAUUAACUGUAUAAAGGAUUUAUUGAAAUGUCUUCUAUUCUUUGGAGUCACCUGCCUGUCUGCCUGACAGGAUCACUGUCCACUGGCUGCUCUUUGGUCCUCUGGAGAUGUGUUCCUGCACCCUGCCAAAACACCCACCCUUCAGGGGGCUGGGCUCCCUGAGGCCGGCCCUGUCCAGGCUGCUGACCAACACCCAUCAACAUGGUAAGGGUGAGCUGGCCAGCUUUCCCCAGGGCCUGCCCUUCCCUGAUGAUGCCUAGUCCAGGUCCCAGGCUUCCUGGCCUGACAUAUCUAGAUGCCACCUUGCACACAGCUCAGUCAGAAAAAAUAAACCAGUUUGCAGUUCUGUGCUGAGAAAUAACGUGAUGGCAUCGCAAUGCUGGUAUAUGUAUUAAAUUAGACAUCAUUUAUUAGAGACUCAUCUGAGGUGGUACUUCAAAAGUAUGUCCCCUCCCCCCCAAAAGAUAUUCCAUAUGGCAUGAAGAGUCAAAUGUAAAAGUAAAGCAAUGGAAACAAUCUGGAGGAAGAGAGAUGAAUAUUUAUCAGAUUCCAGAAUGAACAUGGGCUUUGUAAUUGUAACGUUUUAGGGAAAGUUAAUGCACCAGAGGCCUCCCUGGAAAGAACCUGGUAACUGUUUAAAAAAGACGCCAGAUAAGCUCCUUGAGGUGGGAGGGAGAUGUCAGAAUGCUUAUGGCAGGUGAGGGCAUUGCAAAACUGCCUUCUGGAAAGCUGGGGGACCUUGCUAAAGAGCUGACCUCGGGCUCUGCUGAAUACUGGUAGUUGGUUUUGGGGACAAAUAUCAGCCUGGGACAGUGGAGCAGGGAAAGCUGAGGUUUUGGUGGUGUUAGAAGAGAUUUCCUGGGGGGAUUGUUUUGAAUUUUGUACAAAUUAAAAACCUCUGAAGAAACAACAAGAACAAAUAUACCACAAGCAGAAAUAAAAAUAAAUAACAAACUAAGGAAGAGGCGGCAAAUGAGAUGAAGGUUGAGUUGGCAUGCUCUUACUACUCUCUAUGAAAAGCACCAGUGCUCUAGAAGCAAUUGGAAAAGGACAUUGGGUCAGUGGGGCCCUCUGAGAAGAGCAGAGGAUGGGAUGAAUCUUGGGGUGUUUUUACUAAGGGGACUAAGGAACGGAGAGAGGGAGCUGUCGGGAAGGAGACAAGGGAGCUGGGGAGGGAGUGUCCUGGGCACCCUGGAGUCCUGGAGCCAGUCAGAGGAGCCCCAGGUGUCCAGGAGCAGGCCAGGCCUCGGCCUCCCUGCCAUCCACCCUCUCGGAUUGGGUGGCCUCUGUGUAUGUGCAGCCUGGGCUGCAGAGCCAAGAGCAGAGGCCCCUGGCCAUUAACUGCUCAUAUGGUUGGAAUCUGGAUGCUCAUUUCAUAGCCAGCACAAAUGUGACAAAAGAGUUCCAAAGGAAGGCAUGUAGAUGGCCAAGAAGCAUUUGUGUAGUGUCCCACAGCCUUCAAAGAAGGCAGGGCCACCAGUGGAUGCAGGGCAACCUACCUAGUCCUUCUCAGCCAUGGGCACACUCUGCACAUAGAGGAAUUGGGCCUCCCAUGCUGUCCUCAGAGCUUAAAUUUAACUCCAAAGUCCAAGAUCUCUGAAUCUCAGAGAAUGAAUUUUCUUCUAGUGCACACCUAUGGCCAACCCAGCCCAUAUUUGAAUACCUCCUACGUCAGGGAACUGGAUAGGUUGUGGAGAACUGUGUGCUCAAAGCAGGAUCCAUCGACCACAGCAUCUACACCAUCUUUUUAGAAAUGCAGUGCUUCUGGUCCACCCUGGACCUUUACAAGACCCCAAGAGCUCUGCACAUACAUUCAAGUGGGAGAAGCCUUGUUGCAGGGCAGGCCUCUGUGGACUAAGCUGACAUCACCUUCCCUCUAUUGGAGAGUAAAAAAAAAUUUCUCUACCCUUCCAGGUUCUUCUGGUUGGCCUAGGAAUUAAAUGUACUUGAGACAGAUUAACAAGAGAAAAUAAAAUGUAAUUGCAUACAUACAUACAUGGGCUCCAUUAGAAUUUGAAGCCCAAAGACAAGUAAGACAAUUGAGUCUUACACACUAUCUGAGAGCAGAAGAGCAGAGGGGUUUGGCACUUCAAAGGGAAGGAAGGCAAUUCACAGAAAGAUGAAAAAGAUCAAAUGUUUGGUAAACAUAUGUUUGCUGGGCUAUGCGGAGGCAAUGUGAUGCAGAGAGGAAUUUUAAUAAACUGACUUUGCUAGGGCCCUCUCUGUCUCCACACCUAGUUCAGACAAUAGUGAUCUAUGGGGAUUGCUUCCUCUCUGGAACAAAUCCUCUAUCUACAUUCUUUUAGGCAAUUAGAGAGGUCAAAGGUUCUUCCUGAGGCUUCUGGGCCUUGGUUGUUUUCAAAGUAAUCUACAUGCCAGAAAGAGUGCUUUUUGGGUGGAAAAUUUUGCUCCCCUAUACUUCCACUGGUCUUAGUUUUGUUUGGGGGAAUCAUAUGCUGCUCCUUUUCUUGUGUGGCACCGGUAAUAGUGAUGAUAAAAAAUUGCUCCUGAGCUGGGGGAGCAAGUGGCUCAAAUAGGAGCCCACAUUUCAGGUGGGCAGAGGUGGGAAAGGAACAGCUGGUUUGGGGAGAUGAUGUGAAGGGCACUGUGCUUAUGAUUGGAUCUAAAGUUUGUGAUGAAAAGUGGCCCGAAUGGACGAGGGCCUUGAAUAUCAGCAUGAGGAUUUUCUUCUUUUUUUUUUUUGUCUUUUUUUGCUAUUUCUUGGGCUGCUGCCGCAGCAUAUGGAGGUUCCCAGGCUAGGGGUCUAAUUGGAGCUGUAGCUGCCAGCCUAUGCCAGAGCCACAGCAACGCAGGAUCCGAACCGUGUCUGCAACCUACACCACAGCUCACGGCAACACCGGAUCGUUAACCCACUGAGCAAGGGCAGUGACCGAACCCACAGCCUCAUGGUUCCUAGGCGGAUUCGUUAACCACUGCGCCACGACAGGAACUCCCUGGAUUUUAUUCUUGAACAAUAGGACUUUAGUCUGCAACUUUCUUUCAGGAAGAUACCUCUGGAGGUAAAGCAAAGGGCAGAAAACAAGGAGCUAUUGGAAGCUGCUGGUGAUGAAUGGUGAGUGGUGCUGGAAGCCUGAGUCCAGCAGGAGGGUUGGGAGUUUUGACCUGAUCCACGGCUUUGGACCUGAUCCACACUUUGGACUGGCAAUGCCCACACACUCUCCUGCCCAGAUCUCCCUGCUCCAUCCCAGACCCAAAUCCUCCAUUGCAGCAUAUCCACUUGGAUGGCUCUCAACUAUCUUGUUACGGACUGAAUUGUGUCCCUCUCAAAAUUCAUAUGUUAAAGCCCUAACCUGCAAUGUGACUAUACUUAGAGAUAGGGACUAUAAGGAGGUAAUGAAGGUUAAAUGAAGUCUAUGACAGGGCCCUGAUUCGAUCGUAUUAGUGUCCUUAUAAGAAAGUGGCUCAGCCGUAACAAACCUGACUAGUAUUAUCCAUGAGGACGUGGGUUCCAUCCGUGGCCUUGCUCCGUAGGUUAAGGAUCCAGCACUUCAGUGAGCUGUGGUGUAUGUCACACAUGCUGCUCGGAUCUGGUGUUACUGUGGCUGUCGUGUAGACCAGCAGCCACAGCUCCCAUUUGACCCCUAGCCUGGGAACUUCCAGAUGCCAUGGAUGCAGCCAGAGAAGGAGGAGAAGAAGAAGAGAUACAAGAGAGCUUUCUCUGUCCCUCCACCCCUUUGUCUUCUGAAGAUAUAGCGAGAAAGUGGCUGUCUUCAAGCCAGGAAGAGAGGCUCUUAUCAGAAGCUGAAUCUCCCAGCACCUUAAUUUUAGAUUUCUGGCCUCUGGAAACAGUGAGAAAUAAAUUUCUGUUGCUUAAGCUUCCUAGUCUGGUAUUUUGUUAUGGCAGCCCAAACAGACUAAGAUAAACCAACAUCUUCUAGAGAGAACUCGCGAACUCACAAACUACCUUCCUCUAUGUUCUAGAUCACUGCGUAGCAUCACAUACACCCGCUUUCCAGGCCAGGAGGCCUGUGACUGUUCCCUCUCCUGGGUUCCCUACACCUAACUACUCAUCAGAAUGUUUUGCUUUCAUUCAUUUAAAUUCUCUUGAAUCUCCUUCUCUGAUACUCUAACCACAGGCUUGGGGCAAGAUGCCAUAGUCUCUAGCCUGGGUGACUUCAACAGCUUUAUAGAAGACUUUCCUGCCCUAGUUCUGCCCUCUGCCCCUCGUUCUCCCUGUAUACUGUGGGCCUCUUUCUAGAUCUCCUAAAAAGCUCAUUUGACCAAAUUGUUUCACAGUCCACACACAUCUGGGGUCCCCACUGCCUGCAGCAGGAAGUUGAGAUUUCUUCUACCACUGGAACUAGGAUAGGUGUUGUCACAGAAAUGGUUUUAUAAUGCAAAGAAGAGGUAUAAACAGUGUUAGAUGUUCACCCAUACACAUCCUCAGUGGGCUAGAAGAGAAAUGAUUGACCGCCUGACAUAAUGCAAAAAUAAUCUUCUAGAUUUUAUUAUUUCAGGGGAAAGUACCUUCUCCCUCAUCUUUUGGUAUAUAUGAUGAAAGCAUAAUGGAUUGUAGGAUUUAUCUACCUGCAGGCCUUUUUACAUUUCUUGCCCCAUGGGCCAUAAAUAAACCUGGGGCUACCUAAGUACAGUAAGUCCAGUCUACAGGAAGUGGUACUCAGAGUCAGUCCUUCCCUGUCCUUCUAACCAGGAGGAAGUUCACUGUGCUGACAGCUCUUGCCCUGGACAGAGCAUCCCAUGUGGUAUAAUGGAAUUCACACCCAGAAUAUGCAGGUAAGGGAGUUCCUGGUGUGGCAUAGUGGGUUAAGGAUCUGAAGUGGCCAGAUCCUUAACCCACUAUAGGUUGUGGCAUAGGUUGUAGCUGCGGCUCAGAUUAGAUUCCUGGGCCAGGAACUUCCAUAUGUCACGGGUGUGGUCAAAAAAAAAAAAAAAAAAAAA